GACGUAGGGUGCAAGCGUUGUCCGGAAUUACUGGGCGUAAAGAGCUCGUAGGUGGUUUGUCGCGUUGUCCGUGAAAACUCACAGCUUAACUGUGGGCGUGCGGGCGAUACGGGCAGACUGGAGUACUGCAGGGGAGACUGGAAUUCCUGGUGUAGCGGUGGAAGUGCGCAGACUAUCAGGAGGAACACCGGUGGCGAAGGCGGGUCUCUGGGCCGUAACUGACGCUGAGGCACGAAAGCGUGGGGAGCAAACAGG
rnacentral:rRNA from 1 species